AGAAUCAACGCUGGCGGCGUGCCUAACACAUGCAAGUCGAACGAGAAAGUGGAGCAAUCCAUGAGUAAAGUGGCGCACGGGUGAGUAACACGUGACUAACCUACCCUCGAGUGGGGAAUAACCUCGGGAAACCGGGGCUAAUACCGCAUAACAUCUACGGAUCAAAUGCGUAAGCAGCUUGAGGAGGGGGUCGCGGCUGAUUAGCUAGUUGGCGGGGUAACGGCCCACCAAGGCAGUGAUCAGUAGCCGGCCUGAGAGGGCGCACGGCCACACUGGAACUGAAACACGGUCCAGACUCCUACGGGAGGCAGCAGUGGGGAAUUUGCGCAAUGGGGGAAACCCUGACGCAGCAACGCCGCGUGGAGGAUGAAGCCCCUUGGGGUGUAAACUCCUUUCGAUCGGGACGAUUAUGACGGUACCGGAUGAAGAAGCACCGGCUAACUCUGUGCCAGCAGCCGC
rnacentral:rRNA from 1 species